GCCAGGCACAGUGGUGUGCACCUGUAAUCCCAGCUGCUAGGGAGGCUGAGACAGGAGGAUCGUGAGUUCAAAGCCAGUCUCAGCAAAAGCGAGGAGCUAAGCAAUUCAUUGAGCCCUUAUCUCUA
rnacentral:sRNA from 1 species